GUCUACGGCCAUACCACCCUGAACGCGCCCGAUCUCGUCUGAUCUCGGAAAAGACUCUGAUGCUGGGAGGGAUUGAGGCAGGAGGAAAAGGGGACAACAGAGGAUGAGAUGGCUGGAUG
ensembl:rRNA 5S_rRNA 5S ribosomal RNA